GCAUGACACAAAGGAAUAGAGCAAACAUAUUGAAAUCUAUCCUUUUUCCUUGUGAUUCAAUUCAAUACAUAAUUAUGGAAAUUUUUUGCCCAUUCUACCAACUCUAUUCUACAAAUACUCUCUGGCUCUUUCCUACCUAAAAGUUUUUGAGCUAUCUCACUAGAAAAUUUACAUGAUGGAGAAUUCAUCAUCCAAACCAUCUAGUUCUCCUUUUAGAUGGUGUUGUUGGAUGAUCAAAACAGAGGUCUUGAGUGAGAAACUAGACCCUGAAAGCACAUCCCCUAUUGGACCUAAUUCUGGACAUUGCUGCCAAUCAUUCAUCCCAACUGUUAGUAUUGAAUUCACCCUCCCUCCUCGCCCUACGAUGAUUAGUGCAUACUGCCCUUCCAAUGAUGUCAGAGUUGCAUAGGUCUCAGCUGAAUUGGCCAGGUGCUUCUCCAUAUAGGAGACAUGCCCUCCUGCGACAUAUCUUUCAUAGAAAUGAGCAAAACACUCAUCGUCCAGCUUCAU
rnacentral:misc_RNA from 1 species